rnacentral:rRNA from 1 species
AUGGAGCUCCCCGUCCACGUCCACGUCGACGCACGACCAGCACGCGGCGGCGCCGCCGAAGCGCCCCGCGGGGCGCACCAAGUUCAAGGAGACGCGCCACCGGUGUUCCGCGGCGUGAGGCGCCGGGGCGGCGCCGGCCGGUGGGUGUGCGAGGUGCGCGUGCCCGGCAGGCGCGGGUGCAGGCUCUGGCUCGGGACCUACGUCACCGCCGAGUCCGCCGCGCGCGCGCACGACGCCGCCAUGCUCGCGCUGGGCGGCCGCUCCGCCGCGUGCCUCAACUUCGCGGACUCCGCGUGGCUGCUCGCCGUCCCGUCCGCGCUCGCCGACCUGGCCGACGUCCGGCUCGCGGCGCUCGCCGCCGUCGCGGGCUUCCAGCGCCGGGAGGCCGCCGGUUGCGCCGCGACCGUUCCCGUGGACGAGGUGUUCGACACCUCCAGUUCGUCCACCUCUGGCUCGUGGGCAACGCCGCAGCCUUGUGCGGCCGCCGACGGAGUGUUCGACGUGCCGGCGGCAGCACUGGCCAGCGACAUGUUCGACUUCGAGUUGGAUGUGUCCUGGGUGAUGGACCUGGGCUCGCCGGCGACGUCGCAGCCUGGUUGUGCGGACAAAGUGUUGGAGGUGCCGGCGGCCGCACUGGGCGGCGGCGACAUGUUCGAGUUCGACUUGGAGCUGGACAUGUUUGGGGAAAUGGACCUGAGCUCCCACUACGCGGAUUUCGCCGAGGGGCUGCUCCUCGAGCCUCCGCCACCGGCCGAUGCCAUAGAGGCGUGCUGGCAGAAUGGGGACUACUACAACGACGGUGGUGGUGACGCCACGCUCUGGAGUCAGUACUGA